rnacentral:misc_RNA from 1 species
GUGAAUCAUCGAAUUUUUGAACGCAAAUUGCACUCCCUGGUAUUCCGGGGAGUAUGCCUGUUUGAGGGUCGUUAGAAUAAAAAAUCGUGGCGUCGCUCUUUUUUUAAGGGUGAUCGCGUCGGAAUUGAGCCGUCUUUCAAAUGUUAAUUCAUGUCAAAUUUGCUUGAAAUUCAUCCAUCCGGUACGAUUAAGUGUAUUUUGGAUCAGUUUUGAUUGAGAAAGCGCUAUGACGUACGAUCUUAUGGAGUGCGUUUGUGUUUUUG